CACCGGUUUUCAUUAUCUGGUCAUGUCUGUAGUUUUAAAAUAAUGUUUUAUGGCCAUAAGAUAACUCUUUAAAAAUGCACAAUGGUAUUGCCGACAUCUUCCAUGGCACAUCUGCUUAGUUUUACAGACACAAACAAGUUUUUGCUACUGUCAGCACUGAGGACCCAAUUUAGCUGCGGAAGAGCAAAGCUGCAUUGUAGUCUGGCUGAUGCGUCACCCGCAAAAUGAGCAGGCUCCCUUCUGAGUCUGGACUCUUGGGUGCUGGUGGUGAUGUAGCAGGCAGAAAGAACAGAGCCUGUUUGGUUGUUAGUUCUGAUUUACGAUUAUUCCCCGUCAGAGAUCAAACUGAGCUUCCAGCACAGGCAGUGCAAGGGGAAGAAAAAAAAACAAAACAAAACUUGCUUCCACUUGUCAGCUGAGCCCCUUUUUAUUUUAGGAAGCCAUCCCUGCUUAGGAAUAAAUGGGGCAGCACUAAGAAAUCAUUCCACGGUGAGUGGCUUUUGGGACUGGAAAGAGCUGCUGUUCUUUCUACCUUGGAACGGCAGGACGGGUGUGUUCAUUGCUUUGCAGGCUGCCGCCCCUCCUGCCAAAGGGGGAGCCCCUCUGGACCGGCGUGAAGGGAGGUUGGUGGACGGGAGGCGAUGCUGUUAUGCCGCUGUUACUGCUGGUCUUGCCGCGGCUGCUGCAGAGUCACGUGAGAGUCCCCUUUAAGUUUCCAUAGAGAGGCCUCUCAGUGUCACAUGAUGGACAUGAUAUAAUGAAACAACAUUGUAGCGAGGAAAGCAUUGAGGGGAGCCCAGGGCUGCACAAACGGUGUCUGGGAAGGGGGCAGAGAGAGAAGGAAACUACGGGGCAUCCUUCAGCACACAGGAGCCCACCUCCAUCCACUAGCGAAAGGGGACGUGGAAAAGAGAGGAGGGGUCCCUCUGCUCCCCUCCCACCCCCCCCGGGCCAGGAGGAAGAACAACUUUUAAUCAGCACAGAUGGGAUUGCACCUGUGUCCGGAGUCGCCACCAUCCAGAGGAAGAGGAAAUUUAUAUGAAAGAACAGAUCUGGAAACUACCUGUUUUUUUGUUUUUCUUCCACUUUGCUGCGGGGGUUGGGGGGUCGCGGUGCGGGGAAGGCGAGAAAGCUUUGCCAGCACAUGGAUCAGCGUAAGAUUUGAGCAGAGUGAAAGGAACGUAGUCAUGCAGAACACUCCUGACACUGAAAUUUGUGAUGUCCGUGGAUCGGUAGGCUGAAUAAACAAUGGUGGACACACCAGGAAAUUGCCUUCUUCUUCAUUCCUGCUGGUGGUGCAGGGGUACACCUGUGCAGCGCUCAUGAAUGGUGUAGUGGCUGGGAAUGGCGAACCGCAGCCACUGGGAGCUGCGGGCGGCUGUGCCUGUGUACAGUCAAAGUAAACAAACUGUCUCGCAGCCUACCAGUGGAUUACCUUGAUGGGCCAUAUGCGGCCCGCGAGCCGCAGGUUGCCCACCGCUGGAUUAGAGACUUCCUCCUUCCCAACCAAUUUAAACUGCUGACAAACAACUUGAAAGUGAGAGGAUGUAACAAGCUACAGUGAAAUGAGUCUUUGUGAAAUUAUUUGUUUAAUAUCAAGAAAAAAAGUUUGCUUCCAGUUUCUCCUGUGCUUUUUAAAACAAACAGAUUAACUUGUGUUUUCCAGAGGCUGCUUGCUACAUUAUUGUAGAGUUUUCAGUUCAUGCUUUUAGGCUCUUAUUUUGAGAAUUUUUUUCCAGCGAUGUAGGUGUCUUUCAUUGUCUGGUUUCAGAGUCUCAGCCGUGUCAGUCUGUAUCCGCAAAAAGAACAGGAGUACCUGUGGCACCGUAGAGUACUCCUUUUCAUUGUCUGCUGAGCAUGCUCUGUGGCUGUUAGGUGAUCACUUUGCCCAGUGUUCUGGCCUUCUCCUGAUUUUAAUGUCAUGGUUGUGGUCUACCUUCCUGGAGCAGUUAUGCACCCUGUGAAUUUUAAUAGCUUGCAAGUAUAUCCAACUGAACACCAUCUUUGUGAAGUGAUUUCUUUGUAAGUAUUUUUCUUCCUCUUCUCCACUGCUGUUCUCUAUAAAAUGAAGCUGUUUCUGUUCUGGAGACCUAUUUUUUGACCAUUGUGUAAUAAUUGUUUUAGUUAAAUGGUUAAACUUUCAAUUGUUAUUUGUAUGUGUUUUGAAACCCAUUUUAGAAUGGGUUUGUUGCUGUGUAAUAAACAGAUUUCAUUUA